UGAAUACGAGAUGCUACGGCAUCGAAGCAGUCUAUGUCAUACUUCCAAGAAAAGCUUGCACUGUCAUAAACAAAUAAUGCCUGUACCAUAACCGACACAGGUGGGUAGGUAGAGUAUACUAAGGGGCGCGAGAUAACUCUCUCUAAGGAACUCGGCAAAAUGACUCCGUAACUUCGGGAGAAGGAGUGCCUUAUUUUAUAAGGUUGCAAUAACAAGAUCCAAGCAACUGUUUACCAAAAACACAGGUCUCCGCUAAGUCGUAAGACGAUGUACGGGGGCUGACGCCUGCCCAGUGCCAGAAGGUUAAAGAAGUUGGUUAGCAUUAGCGAAGCUGAUAACUGAAGCCCUGGUGAACGGCGGCCGUAACAAUAACGGUCCUAAGGUAGCGAAAUUCCUUGUCGGGUAAGUUCCGACCCGCACGAAAGGCGUAAUGAUUUGGAUACUGUCUCGGAGAGGGGCUCGGUGAAAUAGACUUGUCUGUGAAGAUGCGGACUACCUGCACCAGGACAGAAAGACCCUAUGAAGCUUUACUGUAACUUGAGAUUGAAAUUGGACUUUAUUUGCGCAGUAUAGGUGGGAGACGUUGAAAAUAUUCUUGCGGGAAUAUUGGAGUCAUCAGUGAGAUACCACUCUUAUAAUGUUAGAUUUCUAACUUUGUAUCAUUAUCUGGUCAAAGAACAGUCUCAGGCGGGCAGUCUGACUGGGGCGGUCGCCUCCCAAACGGUAACGGAGGCGCACAAAGGUUUCCUCUGAACGUGUAGAAAUCGUAUCUAGAGUGUAAAGGCAUAAGGAAGCUUGACUGUGAGACCUACAAGUCGAGCAGGGACGAAAGUCGGUCUUAGUGAUCUGACGGUGCUGAGUGGAAAGGCCGUCACUCAACGGAUAAAAGUUACUCUAAGGAUAACAGGCUGAUCUCCCCCAAGAGUUCACAUCGACGGGGAGGUUUGGCACCUCGAUGUCGGCUCAUCGCAUCCUGGGGCGGUAGUACGUCCCAAGGGUUGGGCUGUUCGCCCAUGAAAGCGGUACGCGAGCUGGGUUCAGAACGUCGUGAGACAGUUCGGUCCAUAUCCGGUGUAGGCGUUAGAAUAUUGAGAGGAGCCUUCUUUAGUACGAGAGGACCGAGAAGGACAUACCUCUGGUGUACCAGUUAUCGUGCCAACGGUAAACGCUGGGUAGCUAUGUAUGGAGAGGAUAACCGCUGAAAGCAUCUAAGUGGGAAGCCCACCUCAAGAUAAGUAUUC
rnacentral:rRNA from 1 species